GAGUUUGAUCGUGGCUCAGAAUGGACGCUGGCGGCAGGCCUAAAACAUGCAAGUCGAACGCCCUAGCAAUAGGGAGUGGCGCACGGGUGCGUAACAUGUGGGAAUAUGCCUUUUGGUACGGAACAACGUUUGGAAACGAACGCUAAUGCCGUAUGGUCCCUUCGGGGUAAAGAUUUAUCGCCAAAAGAUUAGCCCGCACUGGAUUAGCUAGUUGGUGAGGUAAUGGCUCACCAAGGCGACGAUCCAUAGCUGGUCUGAGAGGACGAUCAGCCACACUGGGACUGAGACACGGCCCAGACUCCUACGGGAGGCAGCAGUUAGGAAUAUUGGACAAUGGGCGCAAGCCUGAUCCAGCCAUGCCGCGUGAGUGAUGAAGGCCUUCGGUUGUAAGACUCUUUAGCCGAUGAUUAUAAUGACUGUAGUCGG
rnacentral:rRNA from 1 species